CAGCAGCCACGGGAAUACGAAGGGGGCUAGCGUUGUUCGGAUUUACUGGGCGUAAAGCGCACGUAGGCGGACUUUUAAGUCAGGGGUGAAAUCCCGGGGCUCAACCCCGGAACUGCCUUUGAUACUGGAAGUCUUGAGUAUGGUAGAGGUGAGUGGAAUUCCGAGUGUAGAGGUGAAAUUCGUAGAUAUUCGGAGGAACACCAGCGGCGAAGGCGGCUCACUGGACCAUUACUGACGCUGAGGUGCGAAAGCGUGGGGAGCAAACAGGAUUAGAUACCCCCGUAGUCCCUGUCUCUUAUAC
rnacentral:rRNA from 1 species